GUUUUCCCGUCCCCCACACUCAGCCCUCAUACUCGCCCCGAAUCCAGGCGACCAGUCCCCGACUGAGACCGGCCUCCCCCCGGGACGCAGACGCGCUGGAAAGCGACACAGAUGAAGACACUAUGACUCUUAGGGAUGAUGUGGCUUGCCUGAAAUCCACAUGGCUGGUGGAAAGCAGAGACAGGAUGAAGAGAUCAACCUUUGUGGGCGUGGCUCUCUAUCCACGGACUACAGCACAUGGUGCCAUGGAGACACCUAGUGGUGUGAUCAUGGACAAGUCUCAGCUUCCUGGUAUGGUGAAGACAAUUACCUGCCUCAAUUCUUAUUGCUAUGGAAGAUAAAUGCAAUGUAUUACUUAAUAAAAGAAUAAAAAUA